GAUGAACGCUGGCGGCGUGCCUAAUACAUGCAAUUCGAGCGAACGGACGAGAAGCUUGGUUCUCUUAUGUUAGCGGCGGACGGGUGAGUAACACGUGGAUAUCCUACCUAUAAGACUGGGAUAACUUCGGGAAACCGGAGCUAAUACCGGAUAAUAUUUUGAACCGCAUGGUUCAAGAGUGAAAGACGGUCUUGCUGUCACUUAUAGAUGGAUCCGCGCUGCAUUAGCUAGUUGGUAAGGUAACGGCUUACAAAGGCAACGAUGCAUAGCCGACCUGAGAGGGUGAUCGGCCACCCUGGAACUGAGACACGGUCCAGAGUCCUACGGGAGGCAGCAGUAGGGAAUCUUCCGCAAUGGGCGAAAGCCUGACGGAGCAACGCCGCGUGAGUGAUGAAGGUCUUCGGAUCGUAAAACUCUGUUAUUAGGGAAGAACAUAUGUGUAAGUAACAGUGCACAUCUUGACGGUACCUAAUCAGAAAGCCACGGCUAACUACGUG
rnacentral:rRNA from 1 species